CCUACGGGAGGCAGCAGUGAGGAAUAUUGGUCAAUGGGCUCGCGCCUGAACCAGCCAAGUCGCGUGAGGGAAGACGGUCCUAUGGAUUGUAAACCUCUUUUGUCGGGGAGCAAAAGACGCCACGCGUGGCGGUCCUAGAGUACCCGAAGGAAAAGCAUCGGCUAACUCCGUGCCAGCAGCCGCGGUAAUACGGAGGAUGCGAGCGUUAUCCGGAUUUAUUGGGGUUAAAGGGUGCGCAGGCGGAAGGUCAAGUCAGCGGUAAAAUUGCGAGGCUCAACCUCGCCGAGCCGUUGAAACUGGGUUUCUUGAGUGAGCGAGAAGUAUGCGGAAUGCGUGGUGUAGCGGUGAAAUGCAUAGAUAUCACGCAGAACUCCGAUUGCGAAGGCAGCAUACCGGCGCUCAACUGACGCUCAUGCACGAAAGUGUGGGUAUCGAACAGGAUUAGAUACCCUUGUAGUC
rnacentral:rRNA from 1 species